UACGUAGGGUGCAAGCGUUAAUCGGAAUUACUGGGCGUAAAGCGUGCGCAGGCGGUUGUGCAAGACCGAUGUGAAAUCCCCGGGCUUAACCUGGGAAUUGCAUUGGUGACUGCACGGCUAGAGUGUGUCAGAGGGGGGUAGAAUUCCACGUGUAGCAGUGAAAUGCGUAGAGAUGUGGAGGAAUACCGAUGGCGAAGGCAGCCCCCUGGGAUAACACUGACGCUCAUGCACGAAAGCGUGGGGAGCAAACAGG
rnacentral:rRNA from 1 species